GGGGGAUAACCCAUGGAAACAUGGACUAAUACCGCAUAUACUUUUGCUACACAAGUAGAGUAGAGGAAAGGAGUGAUCCGCUUUACGAUGAGCCUGCGGCCUAUUAGCCUGUUGGUAGGGUAACGGCCUACCAAAGCUACGAUAGGUAGCCGACCUGAGAGGGUGACCGGCCACAUUGGGACUGAGAUACGGCCCAGACUCCUACGGGAGGCAGCAGCUGAGAAUCUUCCACAAUGGACGAAAGUCUGAUGGAGCGACAUCGCGUGAGGGAUGAAGGCCUUCGGGUUGUAAACCUCGGAAAUUAUCGAAGAAUGAUUGACAGUAGAUAAUGUAAGCCUCGGCUAACUACGUGCCAGCAGCCGCGGUAAUACGUAGGAGGCAAACGUUGCUCGGAUUUACUGGGCGUAAAGGGUGAGUAGGCGGACUUAUAAGUCUAAGGUGAAAGACCGAAGCUCAACUUCGGAAACGCCUCGGAUACUGUAAGUCUUGGAUAUUGUAGGGGAUGAUGGAAUUCUCGGUGUAGCGGUGGAAUGCGCAGAUAUCGAGAGGAACACCUAUAGCGAAGGCAGUCAUCUGGGCAUUUAUCGACGCUGAAUCACGAAAGCUAGGGGAGCAAACAGGCUUAGAUACCCUGGUAGUCCUAGCCGUAAACGUUGUACACUAGGUGCUUCUAUUUAAAUAGGAGUGCCGUAGCUAACGUCUUAAGUGUACCGCCUGAGGAGUAUGCCCGCAAGGGUGAAACUCAAAGAAAUUGACGGGUCCCCGCACAAGUGGUGGAGCAUGUGGUUUAAUUCGAUGAUACGCGAAAAACCUUACCUGGGUUUGAAUUGUAAGAUGAAUGAUUUAGAGAUAAGUCAGACCGCAAGGACGUUUUACAUAGGUGCUGCAUGGCUGUCGUCAGCUCGUGUCGUGAGAUGUUGGGUUAAGUCCCGCAACGAGCGCAACCCUCACCCUUUGUUGCUACCGAGUAAUGUCGGGCACUCUUAGGGGACUGCCUACGUUUAAGUGGGAGGAAGGUGGGGAUGAUGUCAAGUCCUCAUGGCCCUUAUGUCCAGGGCUACACACGUGCUACAAUGGCAAGUACAAAGAGAUGCGAGACCGCGAGGUGGAGCGAAACUCAAAAAAGUUGCCUCAGUUCGGAUUGGAGUCUGAAACUCGACUCCAUGAAGUUGGAAUCACUAGUAAUCGUAGAUCAGAACGCUACGGUGAAUACGUUCCCGGGGAUUGUACACACCGCCCGUA
rnacentral:rRNA from 1 species